ACUACCUUCUCCCAGGCAAAAACCUCCUGGAUAGCAAAGGUCUGUCUGAGAAAGAUGUCCUGUGCAGUGCGAGGGAAUGACUCAGCACAGGAAACCAGGGUGUCUGCCUUCUGAGCGCUAACCCUAGAGCCCCAAACCCUGGCUCUACCUCUGCCAGAACCUGAGGCACUUUCCUCAUUUUACUUACUACCACAACCAAUAUUGCCAUCCAUAUCUUUGCACAUGUGUCCUGCGCCUGUCAAGAGUUUUCUUGGAAUUAUAUGGCAAGGAGUUGGAUUUCCAGGUUCCUGCUCUAUGGAUUAACAGGCUUUAAUCGCCUGGAUGCUGAAGGACACCCCGCUACAACAUGGAACAGAAGCCGUGACACUGGCCUGAACCCUGCUGCACCUUUUCCAGGACUGGCUUCUCAAUAAACUUUGGUUCUGCUAA